rnacentral:lncRNA from 1 species
CAAAUUUAUUAUUAUUGGAAUUACAUAGUGGGAUUUGUUGCCUGAAUUGUAGCACUCAUCUAUUUUCCCCAACAGGGUUUUCUCAUCAACAGAGUAUAGCUGCAGAGAACGGAGUCAUACAGCGCCCAAUGUCUUAGCCAUACUGCUAAAACUGGGUUGAGAUGACUUCUGGAGUGAUCAGAAAAUUUUCCAGUCCAUAAACUUGCCUAUUGGAGGGGAAGGAAAAGAAGGGCCCUGCAUUCUAAGAUUUCAUAUUGGUAGGGAUGAUACUGGCUUUUUAUUUGCCAGUUCUACAUAAACAGCUAUCAGAUUAUUAUAAAUUUAAGAGUCAAUCCUGGAGUGACGUGAGUAGCAGAAUGCCAAGUCUAUGAGUCGCUUGAUAACUACUGGACAUGCACAUGAGAAUAUGAUGAGGAUGGUGCCUUAGAGUGGGGAUUCUCAAUCUGAGGUAACAAUGGGAACAAUUACCAUAUAACUAUUCAAGUGUUU